UACGAAGGGGGCUAGCGUUGCUCGGAAUUACUGGGCGUAAAGGGAGCGUAGGCGGACAGCUUAGUCAGAGGUGAAAGCCCAGGGCUCAACCCUGGAAUUGCCUUUGAUACUGGCUGUCUUGAGUACGGGAGAGGUGUGUGGAACUCCGAGUGUAGAGGUGAAAUUCGUAGAUAUUCGGAAGAACACCAGUGGCGAAGGCGACACACUGGCCCGUUACUGACGCUGAGGCUCGAAAGCGUGGGGAGCAAACAGG
rnacentral:rRNA from 1 species